rnacentral:rRNA from 1 species
AAAUUGAAGAGUUUGAUCAUGGCUCAGAUUGAACGCUGGCGGCAGGCCUAACACAUGCAAGUCGAACGGUAACAGGAAGAAGCUUGCUUCUUUGCUGACGAGUGGCGGACGGGUGAGUAAUGUCUGGGAAACUGCCUGAUGGAGGGGGAUAACUACUGGAAACGGUAGCUAAUACCGCAUAACGUCGCAAGACCAAAGAGGGGGACCUUCGGGCCUCUUGCCAUCGGAUGUGCCCAGAUGGGAUUAGCUAGUAGGUGGGGUAACGGCUCACCUAGGCGACGAUCCCUAGCUGGUCUGAGAGGAUGA